rnacentral:tRNA from 1 species
UUUUAUCUAGUUUAAAGAAAACGUUGGUUUGUCAGACCAUUAAUGAGGUGGUUCCUCGGUUAAGU